UCACCUCACCUUUUCUUGUUUUCUCCGCCUAUAUACCACCGUCGUCAGCUUACCCUGUGAAGGACUCAUAGUAAGCAAGAUUGGCAUAGCCCAAAACGUCAGGUCGAGGUGUAGCGUAUGGAAAGGGAAGAAAUGGGCUACAUUCCCUAACACAGUGAAUUACGAACGAUACAUUGAAAUAUCUAUCUGAAGGAGGAUUUAGCAGUAAGCAGAAAAUAGAGCGUUCCGCUGAAACCGGCCCUGAAGCGCGCACACACCGCCCGUCACUCUCCCCAAGCUUAUAACACUAAGUACCUAAAACCUUAAAACUGCAAAGGGGAGGCAAGUCGUAACAUGGUAAGUGUACCGGAAGGUGCACUUGGAAAAAU
rnacentral:rRNA from 1 species